rnacentral:lncRNA from 1 species
GUGAACCCCAAUGCUUACGAGCCCAAGGUGAUCGCUAUUGGUCCUUAUCACCGCAACAAGGAUCAUCUAAAAAUGAUGGAAGAUCACAAGCUACGUUACUUCCAGCACCUCAUCAGAAGGAAACCUUCCAACAAUGUGGAAAGCUACGCAGCAUGUGUGGGCAGAUUGGAAGCCGAAGCAAGAAAAUGUUACGCAGAUGAGCCUACAAGCAUGAGCCCAAGCGACUUCAUACAAAUGCUUGUACUAGAUGGAUGCUUCAUCAUUGAGUUAUUACUGAAGCGCAACACGGUGUCCCAGACGCAGAAGAAUGAUCCCAUCUUCCAAAUGAACUGGAUGAUUAAUAGCGUGAAGCGCGAUUUAAUGCUCUUCGAGAAUCAACUCCCAUUCUUCGUCUUGUGCGAGUUGUUCGACCUGAUUGAGGCUCCCGGCCAGCAUAGUAUGUUGCGGGACCUUCUCCUGCGAUUCUUCGUCGAUCUGUAUCCUGGGAAAAACUACAGAGGAGAAGCGAGCGUAGCUCCUCGUGAGGUGAAGCAUUUGCUUCACUUGAUCCAUCGGAAUUGGCUUCCCCGCGGCACGGGCACCGAGAAAAAGGAUAAGAGGUUGCAGUUCAUCAACAGCGCAGCGAGGCUUAAAGAGGCUAAUGUCAGGUUCGAGAUAUCUGAGCCAGAAGCUGCGUUGUUCGACGUGAGGUUCGAAAACGGGGUGAUGACCAUGGCGCCUCUGAGGGUCGAGGACAAGACCGAGUCGGUCCUCCGGAAUCUCGUCGCGUACGAGCAGUACUUUGGGCAGGAUCAGGAGAAUUUCGUGACGGAUUAUGUCAUGUUGCUGGACUGCCUUAUUGAUUCCUCCAAGGAUGUGGAGAUACUGUCGCGCGACGGAAUCGUGAAGAACUGGAUGGGCGAUGAGGAAGCCGUGGCGAAGAUGGUGAACAAGCUGGCUGAAUCGGUGGUUGUGCCCUACACAGGCUUCAUCUAUGCGGAGAUGUUUGAGAAUGUGGAAAAGCAUUGCAAGAAAAGAAGGAAUAGGCGGAUGGCCACGUUGAGGCGUAAUUAUUUAAGUAGUCCUUGGCUUAUUAUGUCUCUACUCGUCGGUGCAGUGCUGCUUCUGCUCACGCAAACAGUGUUUACCAUAUUACAGGUGCUUUGAAUUAGAAGAGCGACUAACCAUUUCUGCUCAAGAACUAAAUUGUGGGACAAAGGAUCCCAUGUUUAUGAUCCCAAUCACAUGUUCAUUGAAUGGACAAAUUUAAUAUUUUUGCCCAAAUAUAUAUGCUGCAUUAUUAGUUUUCCCAUCCAAAUAUUUAAUUGAGAGAAAUUCUAAACAAUAAAAGAUCGAGACAAAAUAUCAAUUGUCGCAUAAAAAGCUAUAAAGUUCAUAGGCCUCUAGAUAAAAUAACUAAAACAAAUUCAGUAUACUAGAUAUAUGUCGUGUAAUAAUUGUUAUCAAUGACAGGAUUAAAUGGACUUAUUUUCUAAUGACUCGUGAACUUUAAAUUCUAAUAUGUUGGCGAAUUUUCCGUCAAGAAUGUUCAAUUUAUUAUUAUUUUUUUCUUUAUUAUAUAUAUAUAGAAGUGUUCGGUUUGUAGAAUUAGAUAAGAUUAGUUUUAUAAUAUUUUAUUCGGUUCAAUAGAUAUGGCCAGUAUUUAAUCUCACGCAUGCACAUAGGAUUAGUCUUAGCUUAUGAACCUUGUUGUACCCUUGUAAUAAAAAUAAUUUCAGAUAAUUUCAAACCAAUCCAAUCUCAAAUAAUCUCGAAUAACCGAACAUUCCCGUAAAGAAUUUCCACCUAGUUUAUUGGCACUAGCAGUGAGAACGUGCGAUGCACGUUUAACACAUAGUACGAUUUUAUACUAUGAUAAUAAAUACAUAAAUUUUAUUAUAUAGUUUGAAUAUUUUUUUAAUUAAUUGUAUUUAUGAAAUUGUCUUAUUAUUCACUUGACUAUAAUUAAAAUUUUAAAAAGUAAUCAAUAAAACUAUUAAUGAAUAAAUUUAAAUGUAAAAAAGUAAUAUUCAUAAUAUACGUCUAAAUAAAAAUGCAAACAGAUCUAUGAAAAAUACGUCGUGUGCCACUCCAAUAUACGUCGCGCGCAAUUCCAAUAUACGUAGUAUCCAACACACCAUGCGUGCAACUUUAAUAUACGUCAUGUGCAAUAAUUGUAUUUUAAAAAAUAUGAAGCUUGGACCAAUUAAAAAUAUUGAACUGCAUUAUUUUUCACAAUCUCGUUAAUGCACAACAACAUAUAUGAGAACGUAUACUUAAAAUGAGAACGAAUAAUCAUCUUCAAUCAUUGGAUCAUGAAAAUCAACGGUGGAUACAUUAUCUUGAUGGAUGAAUAUGCACCACCCGAAUUCAAAUCCUGAAGGGAGCGAAAUUUUUUAUUUAUUAUUUUUUUCUAAGGUGCAGUUAAUUGCACAAUGGAUGCAGCAAAUUUACACGCUAAUGCAGUGUCCUCAGUUCUCAUUUUAAAUUGUGGUUAUCACUAUAACCAACCUGGAUCUGUAUGGACAUGCCUCUCCCAUUCAUUUCGUUUUCUACAUUUAUGAAGAACAUGACCCCCCCACCCCCCUCCCCCCCCCAAAAAAAAAAGAAAAAAAGAAAAAAGAAAUGGAUCUGCCUCUACUAUUCAUUUCGUUCUACAUUUAUGUAUUGAUAAUGUUAGAUGAAAGACUAAUUAAAAUUCUGCCGGUGACCCCAGGUUUAGUGAAUACUGAAUAUCUAUCAGUUGAGAUAGAGACUUGCUAUUUCUCUCGUAAUUUGUUCGUCCACAACAUGUGGUAUGCAUAAGUUCUCUUCUAGUCUGUAAAUGGACAUAUACUCCUGCCAAAUCAGUUUUGAGUUUGUUUUUUUUCCAUCAAAAUUGUUUGAUCAUAUUUAUGUGAAACACAUCAAAAUCAUAUAUUUUGGGUGUGAUUCUAUCUUUACAGCACAACGCAAGCCUGCGCUAGCUUGAAUGAAAAACUGACGAAACUGAGCGCGGGGGCAGAAUCAGAAUGCACAAUCUACGUAGUUCAUACACAUUUACGGAACGUGAACCCCAAUGCUUACGAGCCCGAGUCGUUCCUCCGGAAUCUUGUCGCGUACGAGCAGUACUUUGGGCGGGAUCAGGAGAAUUUCGUGACGGCCUAUGUCACGUUCCUGGACUGCCUUGUUGAUUCUUCCAAGGAUGUGGAGAUAUUGUCGCGCAAUGGAAUCGUGGUUGGGCGAUGACGAAGCCGUGGCGAAGAUGGUGAACAAGCUGGGUGAAUCGGUGGCUGUGCCCUGGGCAAGCUUCAUCUAUGCGGAGAUGCUUGAGAAUGUGGAAAAGCAUUGCAGUGAAUCGUGUUGUGAGUGAGUCCACUAUUGAGAAAGUGGAGUAAAUAUAAAAUAUAAAAGUGAUAAAUGUGUUUUAAGGUGGGUCAAUUAGUGGCAAAUGAUAGUAAAUAUAGGAAAAGAAGGACAGUAUAAAAGUACAAAAAAUAGAAUAGGACUCUAAUUUGUGGACAAAAGUUUAAGAUCAAGUAGGGCUUUAAAUUGUGGACUGAGGGAGUAUUAAAAAUUAAUUUAUUUAAAAAUUUUAGUUUAAGUUUAAAAAAAAUUUAGUUAGUUUUAUUUGACUCAUGAAUCGUUUGUUUCUUUUUUUAAAUUAGAGUUUCGUACCUUUCAGUUAAUAAAAAUUAAGUCUUAAAAUUUAAUUUAAAAAUCUUAUGGUACUAUUCAUGCACCAUCCUUAUUCAAUUCAAUUUUUUUUAAUUUUUUUCAAAAUAUAUGAUUUUUUAUUUAACUAUUCAAAUUUAUUUAUUAUUUUUAUUAUUGUAUACUACAAAGAUGCAUAUUUAUAUAUUUUUAUUAUUGUAAAUAAACAAAGAUGAAUUAUUGGAUAAUAAAUUUCAAAAUUUUCAUCUUAUACAAAAGUGAUUUACAUAUUGGAUAACUAAAUGAAUUUUAAUUUACAUUACUACUUUCCCAAAAAUUUAUUAAAAUUAUGUGCAUGUAUCUUCAUUAAUAAAAUUGAAUUUUCUUUUCUCCAUUGUACUAUGAUUGCUAGAUAGCAUUCCAAGCUCCAAGAUCGAAUUCCUAUCGAACGGGAAUUAGUAGUAGUGCUAGUGAGGGUAUGGAAAUGGAAUUCAUCGAUUCUUUCCAGAAGUUAUAUAAAUUGGACCCUAGACCGGGUGACUUUUUCGUGCUUGUCCUUGGAAAUAAGAGAAAAAUGUUCAGCCCCUUUUCUAAAGAAGAGAUUGAAGAGUAUGGUUUACUUGGAAUCAUAAUCCAUGAUUUAAAAGAAUAUUAUCUUUAUAUAUAUUUUUUAUUUUACCUAUAUUUUUUCUAAUAUACAAACUAACCCGUUAAACAUUCAAUUUUAUUUGAUGGUUGUAAUUUAUAUCAUUAUUACAUUUUUUCCAGUGAACUUUUCGGUCUCGAUCCGUGGCAUAGACAUUCUUGCGUCGAUGAUGGGCCUCCCUUCCCACAGACGACGCCACUUGUAAAGGAAAUCGACUCAACAGAAUGAAAUUGCACACAAGAUUACGUGGUUCGGGUGUAAACCCUACAUCCACGGGACAAGAAUCGGAACCACUUUAUUUACUCAGAGCAAAAUAUAGAGAUUACAAUCCUCAGAUGUAUUUCGCUAUCUACAAACUUUGAAUAAGCGAAAAACAAACUCUCUCUAAUCUCUGCAACUCACGCUCACGCAAUAAUGGAAGCUCUGCUACUGAAGAAGAAGACCCGACGUUAGUUAUAACUAACUCAUCUCCCCCUUUAAAUCCCAGCCGCAUGAUAAAAAACAACGGUACAGAUUAUAAGCUCCAACUUUGAUAUUUACUACUAAAUCCCUCCGUGUUUUUAACUUUGCACAAAACCCCUUCCGCAUAAACGUGAUAUCAAAAACACAAUGCACAAACACGUUUUUCUUUCCUUUGAACAAAACUAAUAACAACAGAGGCCUAACAAAAAACAACUCAUACUUAAACAUAAAGAAAAAAUACAAAAAAUAAAUGUGAGAAAAAUCUCAUUAUAAACAUCAAUACAAAAAAUAAUGUGAAGAAUAAACCUCACUAUAAACAAAGUUAUGAGUAUAAAUAUAAUCUUUACAUUAAAAUACCUACAUCGAACAUUUUACAAACCUUCAUUAUAAAUAAAGUUAUGAGUAUAUAUUCACCAUCGUAUUCAUAUAUCAGUUUUUUCAGAUUUCGAUGAUGAGUAAUAUUUGAUAAAACCACACACAAUUGAUCAUGUAAAAAAUAUGUGUCUUUAACUAUAAACCAACAUGCAAAAGAGAUUAAUCCCUUUUAUUAAUCCUCACAGUAGAUUAGGACUACCAAAACAUGUAAUUCUAUUUAAAAACUCAAGUGUGUAACAAAAUGCUACUUGAUUUAGAUUUACAUGCAUUGUUAAUUUGAACACAAACAUGAAAUCUGCAGCCACAUAUACAAUGUAAGAACAAAUAUAGUUAUAUCUUGUACAAGUAAAAAUUGAAAUACAAGUUAUCUAGAUAUUCCAUGUGAUUUAUUUCUUAUUACGAAUCAAUUAAAAGUUAUCUGGAAAUGGAAUAUAUAUAAGAAAUAAAAUAUUAUCUUAAUUUACACCUCGAAUUGAAGACAUCAAAUUGAAAUUACGACAUAAUACAAUUGAGAUCGAGACCCCGAUUUUCUAAUAUAUGCAGAUUGCUAUAAGUACAGUAUUUGACCAUAACACAUUAAAAACCCAAAAAUAUAUCACACAAAACCAAUAUCAAAGUUGACCCUACCCAACUUGCUCACAAAAAUACAAAACUCGCCAUUAAAAAAAAAACCCCUAUUUUCCUACGGCACCCAUCCUAUUGCUAAACUCUAUAAUUCUCUACACUCAUUUCUCGUCUCUCACUCUCUAUUUCUAAAUAUUUGAAUCCAUAGAUUAUUUUAUAAUUAAGUUAUUUAUUUGACUCAUGAAUCGUUUGUUUCUUUUUUAAAUUAGAGUUUCAUACCUUUCAGUUAAUAAAAAUUAAGUCUUAAAAUUUAAUUUAAAAAUCUUAUUGUGCUAUUCAUGCACCAUCCUUAUUCAAUUCAAUUGUUUUUUAAUUUUUUUUUUUCAAAAUAUAUGAUUUUUUUUUAUUUAUACGAAUCAAAUGUAAAUAUAAUAUAUAGGGUUAAGUAUCAGAUAGGCCCCUCACAUAGAGGCCCUUUUCACGUUGGGCUCCCUAUAGUCGAAGUUGGGCCAACUAAACCCCUAUAGUCCAAAAAAUUGAAUAAUUGGGCCCCUAGCCCUAACGGCUGAUAAACGCCGUCCGUACGGAAUCAUCCACAGCAUCGAGUGGUUGCUGAUUCCGAAAUCAGUCCAACAGGACUUCAACGCGCGGCGGAGUCUCCGCGCCACUUCCGCCGUUCUUCCGGAGGGCGCGCUGGAGGUCGACCUGAGAACGCACCGCCUGAAGAAGGCCGCGCAGCGACAGUCGUUUUACAGGGCCUCGAGGUAGAAGACGAGGGCCCGAGGGUUCCUCGAGAUGGAGAGCUCCGCCACCACGAUCUUCCAGUGCUCCUCCCGCGACGACGACAAGGCGGCGGACUCCGACGACUUCGGGCUCCUCUUGAGCGCGAGAGAGGCUAGAAUCGACUUGAAAAUGCCGUUGGGGCUGGCCAUUGAAAGCCUGCCGCCAUUAUUGCUCUCCAACGGAACAACCGAGAACCUCUCCCUAUUGCUAGGCCUGCACUUAUUGCACGACAAGCCGCUCGCCUCCUCCUUUUUCUGCCGCUUCUUCGCCGUCUUGCUGCUCCGCCGGCUCUUCUCAGAAUUCAGCGGUGUCGGAAAGUGCGUGUAAUCGCUGUCUCUCUUCUCCGUGUAGUCGCUCGCCGGAGUUGCUCUAAAACUCAUCCUUCCCUGAGAGAAUUCCUCCUCCUCGUUCCCCUCUUCUAUCUGCCAAAACAAAAUAAAAAAAUCGAUUCCCCUGUUUCCGGCGGAGGAAACCACUGCUCCGCCCAAAUUAAAAAUACAAAUAAAAAUAAGACGGACGGCGUUUAUCAGCCGUUAGGGCUAGGGGCCCAAUUAUUCAAUUUUUUGGACUAUAGGGGUUUAGUUGGCCCAACUUCGACUUUAGGGAGCCCAACGUGAAAAGGGCCUCUAUGUGAGGGGCCUAAUUAAUAAUUAACCCAUUUAUUUUUAUUAUUGUAAAUAAGCAAAGUUUGGCUGAGAGACGUCAACGCAGAGAGAUUAGAAGGCCUAAUCGUUUCACCAAUUAGUAUUCUUAUCACCGCAAUCAGAAUCAGAAUCAGAAACUGAGCGUGGGGGCAGAAUCAGAAUGCACAAUCUACAGAGUUCAUAAACAUUUACGGAACGUGAACCCCAAUGCUUACGAGCCCGAGGUGAUCGCUAUUGGCCCUUAUCACCGCAACACGGAUCAUCUAAAAAUGAUGGAAGAUUACAAGCUACGUUACUUCCAGCACCUCAUCAGAAGGAAACCUUCCAACAAUGUGGAAAGCUACGUAGCAUGUGUGGGCAGAUUGGAAGCCGAAGCAAGAAAAUGUUACGCAGAUGAGCCUACAAGCCUGAGCCCCAGCGAGUUCAUACAAAUGCUUGUACUAGAUGGAUGCUUCAUCAUUGAGUUAUUACUGAAGCGCGUCACGGUGUCCCUGAGGGAGAAGAAUGAUCCCAUCUUCCAAAUGGACUGGAUGAUUCUUAGCCUGCAGCGCGAUUUAAUGCUCUUCGAGAAUCAACUCCCAUUCUUCGUCUUGUGCGAGCUGUUCGACCUGAUUGAGGCUCCCGGCCAGCAUAGUAUGUUGCGGGACCUUUUAUCCACUCUCAUUACACUCAACAAUAUUUUUUCUUAAAACCCGUGUCACUCCCUCCUAGGAAGUUUUUUCAUGGACGGAGGGAAUAUAAUUUUUUACAUUCCUGUUUUUCCAUAGUUUUACAAAUCGAGUGAGUUUUGUUCUUGAGAGUUUUGAGAGUUGAUUCCAUUGUUCCAUUGCUGCAAUCCGAUUUCGUGUGUUUUGGAAGCUUUUGCGCAACAAGAAGUUAUCUAGAUAUUCCAUGUGAUUUAUUUUUUAUUACGAAUUAAUUAAAAGUUAUUUAGAAAUGGAAUAUAUAUAAGAAAUAAAAUAUUAUCUUAAUUUACACCUCGAAUUGAAGACAUCAAAUUGAAAUUACGACAUAAUACAAUUGAGAGACCCCUAUUUUCUAAUAUAUGCAGAUUGCUAUAAGUACAAUAUUUGACCAUAACACAUUAAAAACCCAAAAAUAUGUUACACAAAAUCAAUAUCAAAGUUGACCCAACUUUGAUAUUACACAAAAUCAAUAUCAAAGUUGACCCAACUUGCUCACAAAAAUACAAAACUCGCCAUUUAAAAAAAAAAAAAAAAAACCCUAUUUUCUUACGGCACCCAUCCUAUUGCUAAACUCUAUAAAUUCUCUACACCCAUUUCUCGUCUCUCACUCACUAUUUCUAAAUAUUUGGAUCCAUAGAUUAUUUUAUAAUUAAGUUAUUUAUUUGACUCAUGAAUCGUUUGUUUCGUUUUUAAAUUAGAGUUUCGUACCUUUCAGUUAAUAAAAGUUAAGUCUUAAAAUUUAAUUUAAAAAUCUUAUUGUACUAUUCAUGCACAAUCCUUUUUCAAUUCAUUUUUUAAAUUUGUUUUUUUUUUCAAAAUAUAUGAUUUUUUUAUUUAUACUAUUCAAAUUUAAUUGUUUAUUUUUAUCAUUGUAAAUAAGCAAAGAUGCAUAAUUUAUUUAUUUUUGUUAUUGUAAAUAAGCAAAGAUGAAUUAUUGGAUAAUAAAUUUCAAAAUUUUCAUUAUACAAAAGUGAUUUACAUAUUGGAUAACUAAAUGAAUUUUAAUUUACAUUACUACUUUCCCAAAAAUUUAUUAAAAUUAUGUGCAUGUAUCUUCAUUAAUAAAAUUGAAUUUGUAUGGUUUACUUGGAAUCAUAAUCCAUGAUUUAAAAGAAUAUUCUCUUUAUAUAUAUAUUUUUUAUUUUACCUAUAUUAUUUCUAAUAUACAAACUAACCCGUUAAACAUUCAAUUUUAUUUGAUGGUUGUAAUUUAUAUCAUUAUUACACUUAUCAUAUUUGAACCAUAUCUAUAAUAAAUAAAAUUAACUAUAAUAGAUAGAAGAAGAAAAGUUUAUGAAUUAUGUAUAAUAUUUUUUCUUGAGAGGAAUUAUGUAUAAUGGAGUUUUUUUUUUUUUUUGUAGGGAUGUAUAAUGGAGUAUUCGAUAACCCAUAUUUUGUGUUUUUAUUGAAAUCAACAACCCGUAUAUAACAUGAUAAUUUGAAACUUUAAUUGGAUUAAAUAACCUAAAAUUAAAAGUCCUAGUUGUUACGUAUGAAAAAGAACUAUUAUUAAAACGACCUAAAAAUAGAUCCAACUUUCAAGUAAUUAAUAUAAAAAUAAUUAAAAUUAAAAGAGGAUUGUAAAAAAAAAACCAUAUAAAAUGUAGUUACACUAAAAAAAAAAAAAAAAACUUAAGGAGCCCUAAUUUCAUUUCUCAAUAGGCGCUUCUGUAUUCUCGUUCUCUCUAUUUUUUUUAAGUUCAUCUUCUCUCUUCUUCUUCUUCUUCUUCUUCUUCUUCUUCUUCUUCUUCUUUCUUCUUGCUGUAAAUAUCUGCAGAAUUGAUGCUUCGUAUGUUUAAUCUAAUGUUUCGUUGCAGCAGCGAUACGACGGAGGAUGAUUGUUGAUAAAUUCAGAUGCUUGGAUUAGAAAGCCAUAAAUAUUUUUAGAGUGGCAAAACUUGGAGGCUAAGCAUGCUAGCUUGCACGCGAACGACGACUUUGCAUUGACCCACAGCAAGCUUGUAGACAUUAAAUGCAAGUUGAAUUUUAUGAAGAUGAGUUGUGAAAUGCAAACCACACAGAUACAUGUAUCUAUAUACAUAAUAUCUGUGUUCCAUUAUUGGUCUUCAAAGAAAAAGAAAAUCUGUAUUUCAUUAUUGAAUCAGCACCUUCCCAAACAGCAUGUAAGUUAUAAUUUCCAAGAGAACUGAAGGCGAUGGGUAGAAAUUCAGAAUAGCCAACUAACUUCUGAGGAGAAAUCUAUGAUAUUGAGUGUAUAUUCCCCUCAAGAUAUAUUACUUGCUCUCGAAACCAACCAGCAGCUGCUUACUGCUUAGUACUACUUCAUCCACUGCCAAUCAUGCUCAAGUAAGUUUGAUCUACCUAAUUUCAAUAAACACACCUUUUUUUAGCAAUUCUUAUCUUCGUGAUUUACAAUAUAUAUAUAUAGAGGGUAGGAUUAACAUAUAUAGAGGUCUUAUCUUGGAGAUUAAAGCUAGAACUUGGAGUUGGAACUAAGUGUUUAAGUUCUACGAAAACGGAGUUUAGUUUUAGAGAUUGGAGCUCUAACGAGCUGUUGGCCAAAUUGUUGUAAGACUUUUUGUUUGGUACCUCUGGUACCUUCGUUAUUUUAUGCAUUUUCUUGAUAAAAAAAAANNNNNNNNNNNNNNNNNNNNNNNNNNNNNNNNNNNNNNNNNNNNNNNNNNNNNNNNNNNNNNNNNNAAAGAAGAAAAAAGGGAAAGGAAGGGGGGAGUCGGUAGGGGUUUUAAUUGUGGUUUUCUACAUUAAUGCAGAAUGUUAUUAAUUUAAUGUUACAGAAAUUUCUCAACGUUAUAUGAUAUGUAGGGAUCCUAACAGCACAAUGCAAGCCUGCGCUAGCUUGAAUGAAAAACUGACGAAACUCGGCUCGGAGGCAGAAUCAGAAUGCACAAUCUACAGAGUUCAUGAAAAAUUACGGAACGUGAACCCCAACUAGCUUACGAGCCCAAUUUGAUCGCUAUUGGUCCUUAUCACCGCAACAAGGAUCAUCUAAAAAUGAUGGAAGAUCACAAGCUACGUUACUUCCAUCAGCUCAUCAUAAGGAAACCUUCCAACAAUGUGGAAAGCUACGCAGCAUGUGUGGGCAGAUUGGAAGCCGAAGCAAGAAAAUGUUACGCAGAUGAGCCUACAAGCAUGAGCCCAAGCGAGUUCAUACAAAUGCUUGUACUAGAUGGAUGCUUCAUCAUUGAGUUAUUACUGAAGCGCGUCACGGUGUCCCUGAGGGAGAAGAAUGAUCCCAUCUUCCAAAUGGACUGGAUGAUGAAUAGCCUGCAGCGCG